rnacentral:rRNA from 1 species
GAUGAACGCUGGCGGCGUGCCUAAUACAUGCAAGUCGAGCGAACGGACGAGAAGCUUGCUUCUCUGAUGUUAGCGGCGGACGGGUGAGUAACACGUGUAUAACCUACCUAUAUGACUGGGAUAACUUCGGGAAACCGGAUCUAAUACCGGAUAAUAUUUUGAACCGCAUGGUUCAAUAGUGAAUGACGGUCUUGCUGUCACUUAUAGCUGGAUCCGCGCUGCAUUAGCUAGUUGGUAAGGUAACUGCUUAACAAGGCAACGAUGCAUAGCCGACCUGAGAGGGGGAUAGGCCACACUGGAACUGAGACACGGUCAAGACGACUACGGGAGGCAGCAGUAGGGAAUAUUCCGCAAUGGGCGAAAGCAUGACGGAGCAACGCCGAGUGAGUGAUGAAGGUCUUCGGAUCGUAAAACUCUGUUAUUAGGGAAGAACAUAUGUGUAAGUAACUGUGCACAGAGUGACGGUAACUAAUCAGAAAGCCACGGCUAACUACGUG